rnacentral:rRNA from 1 species
GCGUGCCUAAUACAUGCAAGUCGAGCGAAUUUAUGGGAGCUUGCUCUCGUAAAUUAGCGGCGGACGGGUGAGUAACACGUGGGCAACCUGCCUAUAAGACUGGGAUAACUUCGGGAAACCGGAGCUAAUACCGGAUAAUUCACAUCUACUCAUGUAGAUGUGCUGAAAGACGGUUUACGCUGUCACUUAUAGAUGGGCCCGCGGCGCAUUAGCUAGUUGGUGAGGUAACGGCUCACCAAGGCCACGAUGCGUAGCCGACCUGAGAGGGUGAUCGGCCACACUGGGACUGAGACACGGCCCAGACUCCUACGGGAGGCAGCAGUAGGGAAUCUUCCGCAAUGGACGAAAGUCUGACGGAGCAACGCCGCGUGAGUGAUGAAGGUUUUCGGAUCGUAAAACUCUGUUGUUAGGGAAGAACAAGUACCGGAGUAACUGCCGGUACCUUGACGGUACCUAACCAGAAAGCCACGGCUAACUACGUGCCAGCAGCCGCGGUAAUACGUAGGUGGCAAGCGUUGUCCGGAAUUAUUGGGCGUAAAGCGCGCGCAGGCGGUCCUUUAAGUCUGAUGUGAAAGCCCACGGCUCAACCGUGGAGGGUCAUUGGAAACUGGGGGACUUGAGUACAGAAGAGAAGAGUGGAAUU